AAUCAACGCUGGCGGCGUGCCUAACACAUGCAAGUCGAACGCGAAAAGGGCUUCGGCUCUUAGUAGUGUGGCGAACGGGUGAGUAACACGUGGGUGACCUACCUUCGAAUGGGGGAUAACGUCCCGAAAGGGACGCUAAUACCGCAUAACAUCCUGCUUUUGAACAGGUGGAGAUCAAAGCCGGGGAUCGCAAGACCUGGCGUUUGAAGAGGGGCCCGCGUCUGAUUAGCUAGUUGGUGAGGAACGGCCCACCAAGGCGACGAUCAGUAUCCGGCCUGAGAGGGCGGACGGACACACUGGGACUGAGACACGGCCCAGACUCCUACGGGAGGCAGCAGUGGGGAAUUGUUCGCAAUGGGCGCAAGCCUGACGACGCAACGCCGCGUGGAGGAUGAAGGUCUUCGGAUUGUAAACUCCUGUUGCCCGGGACGAAAGCUCCGACCUAACACGUCGAAGUCUGACGGUACCGGGUGAGGAAGCCCCGGCUAACUCUGUGCCAGCCGCCGCUGUAAC
rnacentral:rRNA from 1 species